GAACAGUUAAUUUGGAGAGAAGAUGGAAAAUACGAGACAGCACUACCAUGGAAAGCUAGCCAUCCCAAAUUACCAACCAACAUCAACGUUGCGCGACCGAGAUUUCAGUCACUACUGAAGCGACUGGAUAAACAACCUGCCUUACUUGAGACAUACCAUCAAAUUAUCGAAGACCAAGUGGAACAGGGAAUUGUAGAGAUCGCACCAACAGAACCAAACGAGAAGCACGAACAUUACAUUCCACAUAAACCUGUCGUUCGGGAACAAGCUGAAUCAACAAAAGUUCGUAUCGUCUACGACGCCUCCGCAAAGGUUAACGAAGAUAGUCCGUCACUGAAUGACUGUCUAGAGAUUGGCCCUCCACUUCAACGAAAGUUGUUAGAUAUCCUUUUGCGAAACCGAGUUAAACCUGUGCUAUUAGCUGGAGAUAUAAAGCAAGCGUUUCUUCAGAUUGUUAUCAGAGAAACCGAACGUGACGCUUUAAGGUUCCUGUGGAUAAAUAACUUGCACACCAGAGAAGAGAAGAUCUACCGCAUGACAAGACUUAUGUUUGGUCUGGGUCCAAGUCCAUUCAUUCUUGGAGGGACAUUGAACGUUCACCUAGAGAAGUACUCACAAGAUCAUCCGAUUUGUGUCCGAGAGCUUAAAGAUGGUACAUACGUGGACGAUAUAAACAUUGCAAGCGACACAGUGGAAGAAACGAGAGAAAUUAAAGAAGAUGCUGUAAAAAUCCUGGGAGAAGGUGGGUUCAUGUUACAUAAAUGGCAUUCGAACGCCGCAGAAUUAGAAAGUGAUGUAAAGGAAGAUGGAGAAACUACCUAUGCGAAGGAAAGUCUAGGGACAACACCAUCGGAGACCAAACUUCUUGGAUUAGGCUGGAACAAAUCAGAAGACACUUUGUCAGUGACAUUUCCACCAAACGAAAAUGAAGUUACGAAAAGAAUCGUCCUGAGAACUAUGGCGAAAAUCUAUGAUCCGCUGGGAUUAGCAGCUCCUAUUCUACUCACGGCCAAAGUGAUCUUUCGAGAUGUCUGUGAUUCUAAGUUGGGAUGGGAUGCAGAUCUACCUGACGAACUAAAGCGGCGAUGGGAGAAAUGGUUGAAGAAUUUACCUGUCCAGUUGAAGAUGCCAAGAGCAAUACCUAGAGAAAUCGGUGUGAUUGUCGAAUUGAUUCUUCAUGGAUUCGCAGAUGCGAGCCUUCUUGGUUGUUGCGCUGUGAUCUACGCUAUUAUCAAGCAAGCUGGAGUGAUUAGUCAAGGGUUCCUGAUUUCGAAAACAAGAUUGGCCAAACGGGACUUGACUAUUCCGCGCCUGGAGUUAGUGAGUUGCCACAUGCUAAGUAACCUCCUACACAACACAUUCAAAGUUCUUAGUCAUAUACAAAUUGCCGGUGUAUUCGCAUGGUCUGAUUCUACUGUCUGUCUUCAAUGGAUCCAAGGUCAGGGAAGAUAUAAACAAUUCGUGGCCAAUCGGGUAGAGAAAAUAAACGAGAAGGAAGAAAUCGUUUGGAAAUACGUGCCUAGUAAAGAGAAUCCUGCGGAUAUCGGUAGUCGGGGAUCAAGUGACUUAGAAACUAACGAAAUGUGGAUGAGCGGUCCUUCAUGGCUGAACAAUUCCGACAGCUGGCCGGAACAGAUUGUUGCUAAACCUUCUGAUGUGUCGGAGUCCGAAAGUCGCACAAUCAAGACCGUGAUGAAAGCUGCUGUUCAAAGAAAAUCAGAUGUCUUUGACGACCUUUUAGCGAAAACAACCCUAUGGAAAACUGUGCGGAUUUUGGCAUGGAUCAAAAGAUUUGCUGUCAAUUGUCGAAGAAGUAAAAGAAUUAGCGGACCACUAACGACUGAAGAGACUGAGGAACAAUUGAAAUUUCUGAUUAAACGAGCUCAAGAGGACGGUGAAAAUUCUGUUCAGUUCAAAGAACAUUCUCAACGAUUGAAUCUCCAGAAAAAUGAAGAAGGCAUUUACGUGUGUAAGGGGAGAAUUCAAGGGUUUUAUCCAAUUUACUUGCCAUCAAAUCACCUCCUAUCUCUGAAGAUUGUCGAACGUGCACAUCUUUACACUCUGCACGGCGGGGUUGGGUUAACCAUGAGUAAAGUACGCGACGAUUAUUGGAUCCCUGCAUUGCGAAGUCUAGUGAAGAAAGUCAUUGGUAAAUGCUAUGGGUGUAAACGAUUUUACACAACGCCGAUGCCCGCUCCACCUCAGGGGAAUCUUCCAAAAGAACGAACUGAAGGUGAAAUCCCCUUCGAAGUAACUGGUGUCGAUUAUGCCGGACCAAUCUAUUACAAGGGAAAUGGGGGAGCUGAGCGUAAGUCAUAUAUACUCAUCUAUACCUGCAGUUUAACUAGAGGACUUCACUUGGAGAUUCUGCCAAACAUGAGCUGUGAAGAGUUCCUGAUGAGUUUUAAAAGAUUUAUCGCAGCAAGAGGUCGUCCGAAGAAGAUCAUAUCCGAUAAUGGAAAGACUUUCGUGGCUGCUGCCAAAUGGAUCAAGAAAGUCGUACGGAACGAAAAGUUACAAGGCUAUCUGAGUGAACAUGGUGUGAAAUGGCAGUUCAAUCUAAGCAAAGCUAGCUGGUGGGGUGGAAUGUUCGAACGAAUGGUCAGCAUAGUGAAACAAGCUCUUUACAAGGUCGUAGGAUCGGCCAAACUUACCUUCAAAGAAUUGCAAGACGUGAUGCUAGAUAUCCAGCUCGUAUUGAACAAUCGACCACUAUCGUACUGCGAGGAUGACAUUCAACUUCCCGUGUUGACGCCGA